UGGGGAAUAUUGCACAAUGGGCGCAAGCCUGAUGCAGCCAUGCCGCGUGUAUGAAGAAGGCCUUCGGGUUGUAAAGCACUUUCAGCGGGGAGGAAGGCGUUAAGGUUAAUAACCUUGGCGAUUGACGUUACCCGCAGAAGAAGCACCGGCUAACUCCGUGCCAGCAGCCGCGGUAAUACGGAGGGUGCAAGCGUUAAUCGGAAUUACUGGGCGUAAAGCGCACGCAGGCGGUCUGUCAAGUCGGAUGUGAAAUCCCCGGGCUCAACCUGGGAACUGCAUUCGAAACUGGCAGGCUAGAGUCUUGUAGAGGGGGGUAGAAUUCCAGGUGUAGCGGUGAAAUGCGUAGAGAUCUGGAGGAAUACCGGUGGCGAAGGCGGCCCCCUGGACAAAGACUGACGCUCAGGUGCGAAAGCGGGGGGAGCAAACAGG
rnacentral:rRNA from 1 species